rnacentral:snoRNA from 12 species
GAUAGGUCCAAUCUAAUUCUGCAUCAUGGUUUAUUUAUGUAGUCUCGCUUUUGGACAAAACUAACCCACAGAUCUUUUAUUAUCCUUGUGCUUGUGGCAUUAUCCCCUGUCCAAUGCACACGAGAAACGUAGAAGAACAGAU